rnacentral:rRNA from 1 species
UACAGAGGUCCCAAGCGUUGUUCGGAUUCAUUGGGCGUAAAGGGUGCGUAGGCGGCGCGGUAAGUCGGGUGUGAAAUCUUGGAGCUUAACUCCGAAACUGCAUUCGAUACUGCCGUGCUUGAGGACUGGAGAGGAGACUGGAAUUCAUGGUGUAGCAGUGAAAUGCGUAGAGAUCAUGAGGAAGACCAGUGGCGAAGGCGGGUCUCUGGACAGUUCCUGACACUGAGACACGAAGGCCAGGGAGCAAACGGG